UACGGAGGGUGCAAGCGUUAAUCGGAAUUACUGGGCGUAAAGCGUGCGCAGGCGGUUUGUUAAGUCCGUUGUGAAAGCCCCGAGCUCAACUUGGGAAUUGCAGUGGAUACUGGCAGGCUGGAGUACGGUAGAGGAAGGUGGAAUUCCCGGUGUAGCAGUGAAAUGCGUAGAUAUCGGGAGGAACACCAGUGGCGAAGGCGAUCACCUGGGGUUGUUCUGACGCUGAGGAGCGAAAGCUAGGGGAGCAAACGGG
rnacentral:rRNA from 1 species